rnacentral:lncRNA from 1 species
GCCUUCAGACUCAAACUAAACGUCAGCUUUUCCCGGCUCUCAAGCCUGCUGGUCCCUGAACUAAAACUCACAUUAUCAACUCUACUGGUUCUUAGGCCUUUGGAGUCAGACUGGAACUACAGCAUUGACUCUUCCGGAACUCCAGCUUACUGACUACAGAUCUUGGAACUUUUCAGCUUCCACAACCAUAAUGAAAGCCAAGCAUAUUCCAUCAUUUCCUAAAACCAAGAUAGAGCACAUAUGGGAACUUGUGAAAUAAGGAUGCCCUGCGGUUGUUUUCAGGACUGAAGACAACAGCUCCACGAUAAAUGGUUCUCUUUUGUACAUUGACCAUUAUUUUAUAGAUCACAUUUAAGUUAAUAUAAAUCAUGCCUAUAAAUUUCAGCCUGCUUAUUUUUUAUAAUCUAGUCAGAUAUCAGCUAGACAUAUUGUUACCAAGUUUGGAGAGCCUUGGGAUAAGCUAGUUUCAAAACUGGCUGUUAGCAUCCCUCAGUUGUGUUUUGGGAGCAAAGGACACCCUUAAAAAAGGGAGGCAGUUAUAUUUUGUGAGCAUUAUAAAAUAAACUUAAAUUCUCAUAAAAUUAGUGAAUAUGUUUGGAACAGUGUGAAUUACGUGUGUGCUACAUGAAGUAUAUAGAAUUCAUUUGAAGUAGGAAGUCUGGCCUUACCUCAAAAGACAGUCAUUCAAUUAAGCAGUUAAACAUAAGCCACCAUAAGAAGUUUUUUUGAUACUUAGAGAGAGAAAGGCAACGUGUAUUAAAAUUCCGGGACCAUUAUCUCAGGAGUGCUGUGUUAUUAUUGACUGGGGGCCUGCUGGGAAGCUAGAAAUAUAUCUAAAAUGUGGCAGGUGGUUAAUUAGAGCAUAUGAAUAAAUAUAUAUAAAUUUGUUAAAGCGUUCACUUAUGGUAAACUAUACCUCAAUUAAAAAGAAAAAAUAUGCACAAAGAAAAUAAAUAAUGAAUGGAAAUAUGAGCCUCUAAAAUCAAAGUUAGAAAAGCAGAUAUUCAAAUUUGCAGAGCUGAUUGUCAACUGGAAUGAUUGUGAUAGAAUCAAGUCUCACUAGCUCAUUGGAAAUAGGAUUUGUUAAGGUAAUGAUGGUUAAUGAUUUUUCAGCAUAAUAACAGCCAAGUUAAUGUAUGGGUGCGUGUGUGUAUCCAUAGGUGUAUGUUUUUACAUGCGUAUUUUUAUUGUAAAAUUAACAUGUUUAUUGAAAACAAGAAAGCACAGAAAAUAUCAACUUAAGUAAAGAUCAACAUAAUUUAGUUCAAAAUUAUAUUCAACAGUGCAUUAUUUCAAUGUUUUUUAUCUUAAUCCAUUUGCUUGAAAGCAUUGAUAUAUGCUCCAAAUUUCCUCCCAGAUUCCACUUGGGGAAAUAUUUAGUAUAUUGGAUUAUGAAAUGAUUUAUCUUUACCUAUAUUAUUAGUAAAGUUCUUAAAAUUUUUAGCCUGUUACUGUCUAUGUGAUUAGUGAUAUUGUUCACAUGACUAAAAUUCAAAGAUAAAAUAUGAUUAUAUUUUAUGGGUGAAAGUUAGGAAGCAAAAUAGCAUAUUAAUACAUUUAACUAAAGUAGUAUUCAUUUGGAUAAUCAAGGUCAAAC